UUGGAGGGCAAGUCUGGUGCCAGCAGCCGCGGUAAUUCCAGCUCCAAUAGCGUAUAUUAAAGUUGUUGCAGUUAAAAAGCUCGUAGUUGAACUUCGGGGUCUACCCAUUGGUCAGGCUUAAUUGUCUGUACUGGUGAGAUGGAUCUCUACCUUCUGAGGAACUUUCAUGCCAUUUAUUUGGUGUGAUGGGAAAUCAGGACUGUUACUUUGAAAAAAUUAGAGUGUUUAAAGCUGACUAUCGUCUGAAUACAUUAGCAUGGAAUAAUGAAAUAGGACGGACUGAUUCUAUUUCGUUGGUUUCUAGGAUCACCGUAAUGAUUAAUAGGGAUAGUUGGGGGCAUUAGUAUUCAAUUGUCAGAGGUGAAAUUCUUGGACUUAUUGAAGACUAACUACUGCGAAAGCAUUUGCCAAGGAUGUUUUCAUUAAUCAAGAACGAAAGUUAGGGGAUCGAAGACGAUCAGAUACCGUCGUAGUCUUAACCAUAAACUAUGCCGACUAGGGAUCGGACGAAGUUAAUUUUAUAAUGACGCGUUCGGCACCUUACGGGAAACCAAAGUGUUUGGGUUC
rnacentral:rRNA from 1 species